rnacentral:tRNA from 1 species
UAGCUCAGUCGGUUGAGCGUGGCACUAACAAUGCCAAGGAUGUGGGUUCGAUUCCCAU